GGAAGUGUGUCACUGUGGAGGCGGGCUCUGGGGCCUCAUGUAUGCUCCAGCCACACCCAGUGAGACAGACCACUUCCUGUUGUCUGCAAGUCAAGAUGUAGGAUGCUCAGCUCCUUCUCCAGCACCACACCUGGCCGCACAACACCAUGGAGCACCAUGAUGAUAUUGGACUAACCCUCUGAAAAUUUUCCUCCUCUGAGACUUCAAUCCCUUAAUCUUAAGGGUGAUGAUGACUGAAGAUCCAUUCUCCACAACUUCUCAACUGCUGAGCCAGGAUGCAGCCCCUACCUCUCCAGGGACUAGAGUCUGCACCUGUGUGACCUAAGGGUGCAUGAGAAGGUCCAGCCUUGGAAACUGAAAAACUGUCAUGUGAUGGGAACCAACAGUGGUCCCGAAUAUUCCCACUAUCACGUUUUCAUCCCAGAUGCCUCUAACAGACAUAUGCUUCAUCAGAGUUUCCUGCCCAUCGAAAGCCAGGAAAGCUCCACCAACUAUAUAGUGUUCCCUAAGCAUCAUAUGGCUAGGCCCCAUCACUCUCUCUUUUAUAUCUCUAUGCCUUAAAUAAAGCAGGUGCUCACGGGUCUCUA